ensembl:lncRNA
CAUCCAAGACAAAAUCCGCAGGGGAAAGGCAAAAAGGGGAGAGGAGGAUGGCUUUCAGGUGGGAGACCUGGUUUUGUGCAAAAAUGUGAGGCAAGAGCAGAGAAAAGGCCAUCACUGGUGCAGUCUUGCUGUGACCCCAUAAAUGCAAUAACCAAAAUCUGGGCUGGGGAAAGGUGCUGUGGUCCAAAAUUGGGCCAUACAAGUUAUUUUCGGAAAACAUUGCUGACUUGGCCCCUGGGAAAGAGUUGGAAAGUGAGAUCAUAAAUGCUUAUUUGACACUGGUGAGGCAACAACACGCUGCAUUGAUUAUGGACUCCUAUUUCAUUACAUCAGUUUGGCAGGGGUCCACAAAAGGUUUCAGAAAGAGCUCUGGUUAGGAGAAAAUGUCCAGCCAUCGGCAAAUGGACGUGCUCAACUGUUGCCCAUCCAAAACAGCAGGACCUAACAUCCUGUGGCGUCUUUGUAUGCAAUCUUGCAGAACAAAUUCUUUCGGGGACCAAUAUACUCUACCCUGUUGACGAGGAGGGGGUUGAAAGGCUCAGACUGGACAUAGUACUCUCUCUGAUCCAAAACUCAGAUGACAUUUCCCAGCUAUGUCAUGCCUGUGGUGAGAGAAGCUCAGGUGCAGAAACCAAUGACUGGAUUGAAUGCACCUUCUGCGGAAAGUGGUACCACACAGUGUGUGUGGACUUCCCCUGUGCAGAAGGCGACUACAAAUGUUGUGGGUGCUAAAUAAACAGAAACAAUUGAU